rnacentral:tRNA from 1 species
GCUGAUAUAGCUUAGUAGGUUAGAGCACAUCUUUGGUAUAGAUGAGACGUCGGUUCGAGUCCGACUUUCGGCA